rnacentral:tRNA from 1 species
GCACCCGUAGCUCAGCUGGAUAGAGCGUUUGAUUCCUAAUCAAGAGGCCGCUGGUUCGAGUCCAGCCGGGUGCACCA